UAAAAUCCCUGAAAAAAGUAGGUAUGUAUGUCUGUGGCAUCAGCCCCUACGAUUUCAGCCAUCUAGGUCAUGCUCGCUCUACGUAACUUUCGAUGUCCUGUAUAGGGUACUAUGGCCAAUUGUGAAAUCAGGGAUAUUUCUCAGCCUUUGCAAGUGGGUUCUGUCAGGCAGGUGCAUGCUUUAUAUUCUAUUUAACUUUUUUUUUUCUUUUUCUUUUUAAUUCCUGUUUAGGUUGGCAGUAGGAAGGAGCAUGGGCAACCCGAUGUUUCCAUGAAUCAUCCACAUGAUGUGGGACUUGAUCGUUUUCCCCAAUACCCUCCAAAAGGCUAUGAUUUUUUUAUUGCAUUUUGUGAAGAAGAUUUGAUUGAGAAGAAGAUUGAUUUUCUAGUAAACUGUGUCAGUUACCCAUUAAAAUCGUUAAUAGCAUUUUCGUUAUGUAUGUCAUAUACAAUCGAGAGGGUCAAAAUAAGGUCUUUAAUGUAUAAGUGGCUAUAGGAUGAAGGAAUGGCAAGAUCAGUGUUGGGUUUGAGUAGAAUCCUUGCCUAUUCAGAUACGACAUUUAUAUUGCAUUUUGUGAAUUGUCACCAAAGGGUCCUGAGGUUUGAGAAAAGUUCAAGAAAGAAUGAUCUUUAGGCUAAGCAUUGUAUUUUGCUUGAAAGAGGAAACAAAAAGUCGUCCCUUUCAUGAUAAAAGAAAAUGUAUGAAAGCCCACAAAAGAAAAUGAAAAAAAAAAAAAAACUAUAUUCAAUACCUUUGAAAACCAUGACCAAUGAAAUGUGACUCUUGAAUCUUGAUAAUUUGAGUUAAAAAAAUCAAGCUUUUCUAAUUAUUAGCUUCCUUUUUUGGUUGAUCACAUUUUGAUGCAACUUGGUUAUCAAGGCAAUGGUUAGUCACAUUUUGAUACAGUUUGGUUAUCUGGAGCAUAAAUGUGUGCAUGCAUGGAAUCAAUUUCAAAAUUCUGGAUUUCUUCUUCUUCUUCUUCUUCUUCUUCUUCUUCUUCUUCUUCUUUUUUUUUUUUUUUUUUUUUUUCCAUUUUGGCCAUCUCUAGACUAUUUUUUUUUUUAUGUGAAUAGUAACUCAGUUACUGAAAAAUGUAGAUCUUUAGCAUUGAUUAGAGAAGUGCUUAUAUUUUUUAACAAAACCAGAUGGUUAUUGGUCUUGUACUUUAAUCUAUGUCUUGUUAUUGAUUGCAUUUUCUUUGUUAUGUUUUGCUUUGUUUUACCAUUGAAAGUAACUGAAUAUUUCUUGUACCCUGGUCUUUAGACUUACACAGAGUAUUGGAAUGCUAUCCAGCACAUUUUUUAGGAGUACUCGGAAGGAAGAUAUUGUAGUUCCUAUGAUGGAGAUAUGUGGAGGAAGCAAAGAAAGACUGCAAGCUUGGAGUUCGCAUCAAAGAACUUGAGAGAUUCCAGUACUCUUGUAUUCAGAGACUAUGCCCUCAAGCUAUCAACUAUCUUAUGCCAAGCUUUUAUACAAAACCAACAAGUAGGCGUGCAGGAUGUCCAGGUAGUGCAAAAAGGUGGGCCCAAUCAGGAUGAGCACUUGGCCUGAAAAUUGAACAGGUCGACUCAGCGAGGAGGGCGACAACCAAUGAUCUGACCCAACAGACAGCUGUUGCCCAAUUGAUGUGUGGAUACACCUGUUUUUCAUGGUGGAAUCCACAUUUUGCAAGAAAGAAUUGGAUGUUCUACGCAUGUGCAAUUCCCACCGGCAACGAGAAAGGGUUAAGCAGAGGCUGGCACUUUAUCAUGGGGUGUUGCCCAUAUAUAUGUAGUUCUCCAAUGAUGCAGAAGAGACGUUCUCUUGAGCUCUGAAUCUCCUGCUGGUAUGGAAUUAUCGAAUGCUUGCACUCAUGGAUC